CUUUCAUACAACCUUGGGGGUCUCCCCAAGGUGAAGGAUGUCAGGUCCUUUCUCCAUCAUGCCCACCUGAAAGAAGAAACCUCUUGAUUCAACAGUUGACUCUGAAGGCUCUUCUCAAGCUUUCUCAAUCCUGGGUUCAAGUUUUGGUGGUUACACCUGGACAUUGGGGCUUCACUAGCCUGAUCUUUCCUCCCUGCAUUGGGUAGACCGGGCUGAAGCGACACGAGUAGACUGGGAUGGCCCGGAGCUAACCUCAUUGCGGGCCUUGAGUUUGACACCCCUGGACUACAAUGAUGUGCUCCUUC